UUGAACGCUGGCGGCAGGCCUAACACAUGCAAGUCGAGCGGUAGCACAGAGAGCUUGCUCUCGGGUGACGAGCGGCGGACGGGUGAGUAAUGUCUGGGAAACUGCCUGAUGGAGGGGGAUAACUACUGGAAACGGUAGCUAAUACCGCAUAAUGUCGCAAGACCAAAGUGGGGGACCUUCGGGCCUCAUGCCAUCAGAUGUGCCCAGAUGGGAUUAGCUAGUAGGUGGGGUAACGGCUCACCUAGGCGACGAUCCCUAGCUGGUCUGAGAGGAUGACCAGCCACACUGGAACUGAGACACGGUCCAGACUCCUACGGGAGGCAGCAGUGGGGAAUAUUGCACAAUGGGCGCAAGCCUGAUGCAGCCAUGCCGCGUGUGUGAAGAAGGCCUUCGGGUUGUAAAGCACUUUCAGCGGGGAGGAAGGCGAUAAGGUUAAUAACCUUGUCGAUUGACGUUACCCGCAGAAGAAGCACCGGCUAACUCCGUGCCAGCAGCCGCGGUAAUACGGAGGGUGCAAGCGUUAAUCGGAAUUACUGGGCGUAAAGCGCACGCAGGCGGUCUGUCAAGUCGGAUGUGAAAUCCCCGGGCUCAACCUGGGAACUGCAUUCGAAACUGGCAGGCUAGAGUCUUGUAGAGGGGGGUAGAAUUCCAGGUGUAGCGGUGAAAUGCGUAGAGAUCUGGAGGAAUACCGGUGGCGAAGGCGGCCCCCUGGACAAAGACUGACGCUCAGGUGCGAAAGCGUGGGGAGCAAACAGGAUUAGAUACCCUGGUAGUCCACGCCGUAAACGAUGUCGAUUUGGAGGUUGUGCCCUUGAGGCGUGGCUUCCGGAGCUAACGCGUUAAAUCGACCGCCUGGGGAGUACGGCCGCAAGGUUAAAACUCAAAUGAAUUGACGGGGGCCCGCACAAGCGGUGGAGCAUGUGGUUUAAUUCGAUGCAACGCGAAGAACCUUACCUGGUCUUGACAUCCACAGAACUUAGCAGAGAUGCUUUGGUGCCUUCGGGAACUGUGAGACAGGUGCUGCAUGGCUGUCGUCAGCUCGUGUUGUGAAAUGUUGGGUUAAGUCCCGCAACGAGCGCAACCCUUAUCCUUUGUUGCCAGCGGUUAGGCCGGGAACUCAAAGGAGACUGCCAGUGAUAAACUGGAGGAAGGUGGGGAUGACGUCAAGUCAUCAUGGCCCUUACGACCAGGGCUACACACGUGCUACAAUGGCAUAUACAAAGAGAAGCGACCUCGCGAGAGCAAGCGGACCUCAUAAAGUAUGUCGUAGUCCGGAUUGGAGUCUGCAACUCGACUCCAUGAAGUCGGAAUCGCUAGUAAUCGUAGAUCAGAAUGCUACGGUGAAUACGUUCCCGGGCCUUGUACACACCGCCCGUCACACCAUGGGAGUGGGUUGCAAAAGAAGUAGGUAGCUUAACCUUCGGGAGGGCGCUUACCACUUUGUGAUUCAUGACUGGGGUG
rnacentral:rRNA from 1 species